AAGCAUGGCACGUCCAACAGACAUCCUGCUUCUCUUUAAAGAGCAUGGAUUUAUCCACACCAUGCAACAUGAAUGAAAUGAGAAGUUUGCAGGGCUGCCAACCUUUUCGUUGAGGUUUUGAGGUAGUAUAUUUCUUCUACAAUA
rnacentral:snoRNA from 1 species